rnacentral:rRNA from 1 species
CCGGCAACGUGGCGGCGGCUUACCAUGCAAGUCGAGCGAUGAAGCUUCCUUCGGGAAGUGGAUUAGCGGCGGACGGCCGAUUAACACGUGGGUAACCUGCCUCAAAGUGGGGGAUAGCCUUCCGAAAGGAAGAUUAAUACCGCAUAAUAUGAGAGAAUCGCAUGAUUUUCUUAUCAAAGAUUUAUUGCUUUGAGAUGGACCCGCGGCGCAUUAGCUAGUUGGUAAGGUAACGGCUUACCAAGGCAACGAUGCGUAGCCGACCUGAGAGGGUGAUCGGCCACAUUGGAACUGAGACACGGUCCAGACUCCUACGGGAGGCAGCAGUGGGGAAUAUUGCGCAAUGGGGGAAACCCUGACGCAGCAACGCCGCGUGGGUGAUGAAGGUCUUCGGAUUGUAAAGCCCUGUUUUCUGGGACGAUAAUGACGGUACCAGAGGAGGAAGCCACGGCUAACUACGUGCCAGCAGCCGCGGUAAUACGUAGGUGGCGAGCGUUGUCCGGAUUUACUGGGCGUAAAGGGUGCGUAGGCGGAUGUUUAAGUGGGAUGUGAAAUCCCCGGGCUUAACCUGGGGGCUGCAUUCCAAACUGGAUAUCUAGAGUGCAGGAGAGGAAAGCGGAAUUCCUAGUGUAGCGGUGAAAUGCGUAGAGAUUAGGAAGAACACCAGUGGCGAAGGCGGCUUUCUGGACUGUAACUGACGCUGAGGCACGAAAGCGUGGGUAGCAAACAGGAUUAGAUACCCUGGUAGUCCACGCCGUAAACGAUGGAUACUAGGUGUAGGGGGUAUCAACUCCCCCUGUGCCGCAGUUAACACAAUAAGUAUCCCGCCUGGGGAGUACGGUCGCAAGAUUAAAACUCAAAGGAAUUGACGGGGGCCCGCACAAGCAGCGGAGCAUGUGGUUUAAUUCGAAGCAACGCGAAGAACCUUACCUGGACUUGACAUCCCUUGCAUAGCCUAGAGAUAGGUGAAGCCCUUCGGGGCAAGGAGACAGGUGGUGCAUGGUUGUCGUCAGCUCGUGUCGUGAGAUGUAAGGUUAAGUCCUGCAACGAGCGCAACCCUUGUUAUCAGUUGCUACCAUUAAGUUGAGCACUCUUAUGAGACUGCCUGGGUAACCGGGAGGAAGGCGGGGAUGACGUGGAUCGACCUGCCCCUUAUGGCCAGGGCUCCCCACCCCCGCAAAGGCGGGGGCCAUAAG